CACCAGCUCUGGAGCUGGCGGCGAUGCGGACCGAGUGAGCGGCGGUAGGGCCAGGUCGGGCGCCGGGCGGGAGCCGAGGCCGCGGCGGACUCCGCAAUCCCGCAGCCGGCGACUGGAGCCCACCUCUGCAGAGACAAAGGAACUGCUCUGGUGAACUCCCCCUGAAAGUAAAUGUCCUUGGCUGGCCUCCAGCAUUCCCCUCACAGGCAUGGCCAUGCAGCCUUCAGAACCUUCCUGAAAGAGAUGCCCAAGGAUUCAGCAAACACGGGGGAAGCAGAGGACACAACAAGCUUGGAUGUGAAAUAGCACUUCCUUCUGUAUUACAGAAUAAAACAAUAUUUUAAAUUACACAAGCAGAUGGGGCAAGUUUUUGGGCCCUCACAAGCCCAGAAGACUUCACACUGGUAUACUGGUGUAUACAUGUGGAAUUGAGCAAAGAACUUGUUUAAUUCCAAAAUUUUCUGAGAAAUAAUCUCAAUAGUCAAUUUGCCUCAUUAUCUUCUCCCCAUCUUACCCAAAUAAAAGCAGAGCUUUAUGACCCUCCCUUUCAACUUGGGGAAUGAGGGCCGCAGAGACUUUGCACUGAAAAGCAGCCAUAUUUGCAUUUUUCUCCCCUUGUACGGAGGUAAGCGAUAUACUGGGUUUUGUGGAACCUCACAAAAUGGCAUCCUUGAACUGACUUCUCUGAAAACCACUGAGACCCACAUUCUCUUUUGUAUGUUUCUGGUCAUUGCAAAUGGAGAGCCUAAAUCACUCAGAAGGCUUGGUUCUUUCAUUCAGUGUUAACACUGGAGAGUACUAUUUUUCUCUAAACGGUUUACAGACCUCACUAGGCAGACUGCUGCAGUCCAGGGCUGAAAAGUGCUGCCUGGGAUGGCAAAGCAUUCUCUGAAGGUUUAUGCAAAUUUCUGCAGCAAAAAAAUGUUCGCUUGUUGCCUCAAUGCUUGGAUGUUGACACAUUUGAGCCAAUUAGAAGGGCAUCUUGUGCGCAAGUCACUGCCAGUCUGUCUGCAUGAAACACCAUGAUGGGGGGUGGGGAUGUCUAGUCAGUUUAAGAAAGAAGGUGGCGAUUGUGUGUGAUGUGUAAUUCCCCCAGGUCUUUAUUGGAACACAAAUCUAUGCUCUUCCCAGCUACAAAAGGAAACAUUUACCAAAUCAACACUCUGGGCGUGUGUGUAAGCUAUGUAUACAUACAAAUUCAUAAUCUAAUAUAUACCAGCUAUUGCAACAGUCUUUGUCUGUACAUGAGGUAUGCAUUUACCAUGGUUUAGGCGGCCAGUGGGACCAGAAGUUACACUUUGAGACCAGCACAGAAUGCUGAAGAAAUGACAAUUUUAUCUCCUCUUCCUUCCUUGAUUUCCAUACCCACCCAUACACAGGGCUCCCACCUGACAAUCCUGCCAACAUUAUUUCAGGGUUCUAAAAGUAUCUGGUGAGCAUCCUUGAGCAGGAGACAGCCAGUUUUGCUAAUAUACAAAGGAGUCCUGAGUCCCUUAAAUCCAGGGCAGCUGGAUUUCAGCCAGCACUGGUCUUUGGAUGGUUUACACUGGAGGCUGUUCCCCAGCCUCUUGGCCCUUGGCAUCCUUACUCUGUACCAGCCGACAGCAGAGUCUUAAGCAGUGCACAGAGCAAAACAUUCUCAAAUCCAGCAUAGGCAUUUGCAGCUGUCUCUUGGAGUGCAAAUGUUUAAGUCCUGGGCCACCUGUGAUUUAAAAUUAUCUUUCCUGGCUCCGGUCAGAGAAUGUCACAGCCAUCACUUCUUCUCAGCAUGGAAAGCCAGGUGGUGCUUUCCUUCUGACCUGGCCAGUGGCAACAUUUCUGUGGUCCAUGAAGCCACAGGCAAACAGCCUGAUAAAACCCGAUGAGGUGACCCUGGCGCAAAACUAUAGGAUUCCAUUUUCUUAUCUAUGUAAUAAAAGCAACUGUGGAAAUAAAAACAUACCCCUUUGAAAAUAAACAUGGUUAGAGAAA